GCGUCGGUAGCUCAGUCGGUAGAGCAGGAGACUCUUAAUCUCUUGGCCGUGGGUUCGAGUCCCACCCGACGCACCA
rnacentral:tRNA from 1 species